rnacentral:rRNA from 1 species
AGGGAUCGAUUCCUGCGCCGUCGCCGCCGCCGGCCGCAGGCGGUGGCGGUCCACGGCGAUGACCGGAUUAGCGCCCUAUGCGACGAUCUCCUCCUCGACAUACUAGGCCGCCUUGACACCCGCAUGGUUCUCGACGCCGGGGUGCUAUCUAAGCGCUGGGCCGGCCUGCCCCGCGAGCUCUCCGUCCUCGACUUGAGCGUCGGGGACAUACUCCCGCCGCGCUACCACCGCUGGGUCCUCCUUCAUCGAGAAUCCAAGGCAAGAGAUUUAAAGUACCAAUUCUGCACGACUAAUAUGGAGAAGGUCAUGCCUCACAUCAGGAGGUACGAGCGCCGCGCCAUGCGAGCCUUGACCACCUCUGUCGAACGUCUCUUAGACCCAGCGGCAGAUGGUGUCGGCCGGACGGUAAGCAAGCUGACGCUUGAGUUCUUUUCGACCCACAACACUGACUGCAUCAACCGGCUCAUCUCCAAGGCCAUCGAUGCUUGGGAGGUCCAUGAUCUCGUGGCCGUUGCUAAGCCAGUCUACUCGCAACGCCGAAAUUUUCAUGCCUUCCCCGGCCACGGCAUCUGUGAGGAACCCUGUGCGUCACGCCUGCGAAGCCUCAAGCUUGGAGGCUGCAUGAUCCCAUCGUUGCUCGGGCACAAUGUGCUCACCCUGCUCGUCAUGCAAGACACACCAAUGUCGACGCCAGAAUCGGCGUACGAGGGCAUCUUCACCUCGUGCCCGCAGCUGCAGGUGCUUCACCUCAUCUCCUGCUACAGCGCAGGCAAUGGGAAUGGGGACAUUACCGUAGACGCCCCCGGGUCAGACCUGCGGGAGCUUGUCGUCGACAAUUGCGUCUGUUUCAUACGGAUAUGCCCGAGGGCUCUUCCCAGACUCGAGCGCCUAGCAUCCCUGGGCACGAGAGUGCGCUUCGAGACCACCUCGUUUCCCUACCUCAGGCAAUGCAACCUCACCCUGUGCAUGGGUGUCACAGAGGAAACAGCUCGCCGAUACUUUGCGGCACGCAUGUAGCUCAAGCUUGGCUCGUUAGUGGGAUGCAUCCCGGACGUAACGGACAUGAUCAUUCGGUUCACUGGACCUGACAGAUGGAUCGUGCCGUCCGUUUCCUCGCCGGCGCUGCUACCUAAUCUCCGGCGGCUGCUGGUCGCCGACGUGCCUCGGUGCUGGGACGUCUCGUGGCCGCGUCUCCUCCUUGAAACGGCGCCUUCCCUCGAGACCCUCCAUGUCCACAUCGCCCCGCCGCCUUGCAAAGAGGAAGAGGAGCCCGCCUUACUUGGGCACCGUCACCUCAAGGAGUUUGUGAUGGCUGGUUUUGAGGGGACGGGGAGGCAGGUUUACCUCGUCAGGUUUGUCAUGGGAGUGUGCAGCACGGCGUUGCGCCAUGUCGCCAUGCUCAAGAAGGGGCAUGUCCGGGACAAGGGGCACUGGGACUGGGAGACGGUGACGCAGCAGCAGCAGCGCUCACAGUGGACCGACGAGGAGAAGGACAAGACGCUUGAGCAGAUCAUGAAUGGGGUUCCUUCUUCCUCGACCGCUUCUCCGGCUGUAGUUUUUGGCUGA